UACAGAGAGUGCAAACGUUGUUCGGAAUUACUGGGCUUAAAGCGCACGUAGGCGGCACUGUAAGUGUCGGGUGAAAUCCCACGGCUCACCCGUGGAAUUGCCCGGCAGACUGCAGUGCUCGAGUGUGGUAGGGGAGAGCGGAACUCCUGGUGGAGCGGUGAAAUGCGUAGAUAUCAGGAGGAACACCGGUGGCGAAGGCGGCUCUCUGGUCCAUAACUGACGCUGAGGUGCGAAAGCUAGGGUAGCGAACGGG
rnacentral:rRNA from 1 species